CAGAAACUUAUUUUACUAAAAUAUUCUCUUCAUUUAGUACUUAAAUGCACUAGAAGUGGCCUUUUGAAAAGCCUUCGGUCAUGGAGCAACAAUUGCUGUUGGAGUCUCUGGGCUGCUUCAUUGUUUAUUUAACUUGACAGCAAGCUAGCUACAGUUUCACAAUUUAGAUCAUUUAUUUUUAUGGUCAAAAUGUUUGUACAGUAGCAAAACCGUUUAGUGUAUCUCUACAACGGAAGAGUGCCUCAUUUUGCAGCUGCUCUGCCUUUCUUUAGUUGAGGCUUCAUGCAGAGUGGGUGCUUCAGAAACUUGGCAAACUGUUAGAUCAGCCAUGUGCUAGCCAGCAGUGCUUUCCCUGAUGUGUGAGUAUGGCGUGCCCACCACAAGAAGGCCUUGGGAAGCUCGUUCCAGGAUCACUCACUAGUAUAUCAGCAUGAGAUUUUGUGACCUAGGGCAGUAGCAUGGAGUUGAACUCAGGAGCUUUUCAGGAGGACCCAGAAUCUGACAGUGGACAUCUAGAACAGAGGACACCUUGGUGUGAACACCACCUGUACCAGCAGCUAACGAUGGUGCCUCAUGCUGUUCACAAGAAGAAAGUGAGGUUUGGUGCCAUGAAUCCACCCACUGAGAAGAGUCCCACUACUACAGGAGGACUGUAGCAUAGGCAGAAGUACCAGUUUGGCCACAGGUUACUUCUCCCAUUGUAAAUUCACUCCUUGCUCAGGCUAUGCACGUGCACCAAAGCAGGUUCUGAAUUCUUUUUCAGUUUCCACUGAAUGUUUUUUUAUCCUCUCCGAGCUCUGUGAGAUUGGCAUUAUCCUGUAGCAGUGUCACAGCCUGCAAUCGUUUAAUGCCUCUUCUUGUGAGGCCAGGAUUCCACGCCCAAGUGCAUUUAGUAGGUCAGUACAGUAAUUUUAAAUGUCUUUCUUUCAGUCUUUUGCCAUCUUCAAUUAUACCUUUCCACCCUACUAUUUGUGUAAUUUGCUUCUGUCUGAAGUCUCUUUACUGUUGUUCUCUAUUGCACAGCGUGACAAAUUACCCAUCAAGCCGUAUCUUUUCAGCCCAGAAAUGCGCAGUAACACAGAGUCAUGGCAUUAUCACAUGUUGUGCACUUUAUUUCCUCACAGUUCAUUCAAGUGUGUCACUUUAUUUUCCUGCUUCCUUUUGUCAUCAUGAAGAUUAACCAUUUUUUUCUUCCUAAACUUUAGAAAGAAUUAGAAAUGCAUUACAUUGUAAGCCCAGAGCAACACCUAUACUAUCCCAUACAACCUGUCCUUGGCAAAAUUAUUCUCUGCAACUCUGAGCCUUGCAGAAGCUGGGGCUUUCAUCAUUAUUAUACAGCUGAAUAACCCUGGCCGUGGGCAAGAGAAUUAUUUGUAGCCCCUGGCCACCAAACAAAUUAAUUGUGAGACACCAUUCACUUUGACAGCGCACUCCAGCUCCUUCUGGGAGCUAUGAAACUCUCUGGGCCUCAUGUAUAUUGUGCCCAGGGUCCUUCUCUCCCUCCCUCUCUCUUUAAUUCAAGAUAAAUACGAGUAAUUGUAGAGCUUAUGCUGAGAUAUCUCCCAGGCAUUGCAAGGAUGUGUUCGAAAAAUCAAUUGUAUUGUUCACAUAGUCAGCAGGGCUGCAGCUGGUGUAUAAAAGGCAUCCUUAGAAACUGUGAUUUAAGAUGAUCUAGAUAAAGUUUGUUAUUAGAUUGUUUAAGGGCCCAGUAGGUCCUCCAACAUUAAUGUCUGAAGAGAGCCACAGAAGUAAAUUCAAACCUUUCCUCGAAAUGUACCUGAGAUGUGAGAUGGGAUUUGUUCAAGCAAAUAUGUCCAGUUCUCCUUUACAAUCCAUUUCAUAAUUUGUCAGUAUGAAUGCUAGGUGGGAAAAAUAGCACUUCUGUAAAACAGAGCAGAUGAUUAGGAAUUAACUAAACCUGUGGAGUUCAAUUUGGUUGGAGAAAACGUAAUUGAUGUUCAGAUUAACAAAAUGCUGACUGUUUGGUACCAUUGCAUUUUAUAAUUUUGGAAAAUGCUGAUGCAUAGGAAGGAAUAAGAGCAGAAUAUGAUAAACUGAAAUUGCUGUGGCGUUGAGGAUGCUAGGAGUCACUUGUAGUGCUAGUAGUCCCAUAACUUGAAAUAUGUCAGAUGCUGGGAGACCAAGCUUGGAUGUGCUGGAGGAGCUGAGCAUGAGCAAUAGGAGGUACACAUUAAGUUAGGCACCAAUCCCAAGUCUGGGCUCACCUAAUUUUCGGCACUAUUUCUGUCCUAUUUCACAACUAUACUGAGCCUUUCAUGUUGGCUGAUUAAAAAAAAAAAAAUCUUUUGUAUCACUUAACACACAAUGUAAUGCUAAUUCUUUUUUUCAAACAUCUUUACAGACACAAUGGGAACUUUAGUAUAUGCUAGUAAGAAAAAAUGCAUGACAUUUUUGUAAGAAGCCUGACUUUUAAAUGGAAAAAUAAAAUUUAUACAUUUUUGUAACUUCAUGUGAAAACUCUCAAAAUUGUUUUACGUGGACUAGAAGUUCUGACUGUUGCAGUUCAUUUACUUUGUAAUGUUCUCUAAUUAAUUUACU
ensembl:lncRNA